rnacentral:rRNA from 1 species
CCUACGGGAGGCAGCAGUGGGGAAUCUUGCGCAAUGGGCGAAAGCCUGACGCAGCGACGCCGCGUGAGGGAUGAAGGUCUUCGGAUCGUAAACCUCUGUCAGCAGGGAAGAACGGUCACUGUGCUAAUCAGCAGUGAAUUGACGGUACCUGCAAAGGAAGCACCGGCUAACUCCGUGCCAGCAGCCGCGGUAAUACGGAGGGUGCGAGCGUUAAUCGGAAUUACUGGGCGUAAAGCGCUCGUAGGAGGUAUGUCCAGUCAAGGGUGAAAUCCCCGCGCUCAACGUGGGAACUGCCUUUGAAACUGGCAAACUGGAGUGUGUGAGAGGAUAGUGGAAUUCCAGGUGUAGGAGUGAAAGCCGUAGAUAUCUGGAGGAACAUCAGUGGCGAAGGCGACUAUCUGGCACAUAACUGACGCUGAGGAGCGAAAGCGUGGGUAGCAAACCGGAUUAGAUACCCCAGUAGUC